GGGCAUCCUAUAUACAGGGCCAUAUACGAUUCAGUCGCUUAAGAUCUUUUAAUUUCAGUUGGAUUGCUAUCCAUUUAUAAGCAUGCUGAGCGCUAAAGCUAAAGCGUUUAGCAUAGAUAGUCUAUUGGCACCAGGACCAAAUAGAAGUCAGGAAACUAUAGCAGUAGAUACCGAGAGACAUCGCUAUGAUCUUGGGAUAUGUCAUCAAGACAAUCCGACUAAAAAACAUGCCAUCAGAAAGUGUUUCCAUCAGUCCAUUCAAUCAGUCACAGAUGACACGUCGGAAAAUACCAUUCAAGUAGAGCUUUGUCAGAAUGAAUUAUGGCAUGCCUUCCACAACCUAGGGACUGAAAUGAUCAUCACAAAGACAGGAAGACGGAUGUUUCCAGCAAUAAGAGUGAAGCUUCAUGGACUAGAUCCCGGUUAUAAAUACUCUGUAUCCUUAGAAUUCUCACAGAUGGAUAAGCAGAAAUACCGCUAUGUCUACCACAGUUCCAAAUGGAUGGUGUCUGGAUUGGGGGACGAGAUGAUACGAGACCAAAUCUAUCGACACCCCGACUCACCGGCAGAUGGCGCUGUUCUUGAGUCUCAAAUAGUGUCCUUUGAGAGGAUUAAACUCACCAACAACGACUCCCCUAAAUAUGGACAGAUUUCUUUGCUGUCUAUGCAACGCUUUGUUCCCCGAAUCCAUGUUCAUCAGAUAUCGGGAGAUGGAAUAAAAGUUCGUCACUUCGUGGCGUCAUUUCCGCAGACGUCUUUCACUGCCGUCACUGCUUACCAAAAUCAAGAGGUAAAAAAAUGUUUUCUCUUUAAACAUAUCAUAGUUUUUGUUUUCAGUUGUGUUGUAUGUGACGAAUGCAAUAUCACAGUGCAAUUAAAAUUACUCCACGUGACAUAUAGCUAUCUGGGUUAUCGUUUUAAAAAAAACCUGUCUUUCUCUAUCAUUACCAAUGCUUUUAAAUAGUUUACGUGCUAAAUUUCUUAAAAUUCUAAAUGAAGAGAAUAAAUGCAAAGUUUAAAACAUCAUUUAUCAUGUACAUGUAUAUGGCUAGACACAAUGAUGUAGCUUGUACUCUUGGUAGGACCAUGCAGUUAUAAGUGAAUCCUCAGUAUCUUUCCAUUCAUAGGUCGUGUAGUAUCUUACUUCUGUUUAUCAACAAAUGUUCACUAAAUUUAUGAAUGUAUCAUUAAUCAAAAUUUGUUUGCAUAGACAUUAUCAAAAAUAAAUAUCAACAUUAGCAAUCUCUGUCACAAUCGGCUUUGUUGACACAAGAUCAAACAAGUGGAGGCAACUGUGCCAAUACUUGAUCUGUGUAUCCCGCGAUAUCUUUAUAACACCCUUGUGUCCCUCAAAGUGUCAAUACUGCCUGAUAGGCUGUAUCACUGGUGUUAAGCUGCUAGACAAACCAUCAUUUCCUAUUUCUGCAGAUAACCAAACUGAAGAUAGCCAGAAACCCGUUUGCCAAGGGCUUUCGCGAGGCCGGGAAAAACAGGUACUGUUGCAGUGUGAAUCGGUCAUUAUUUUGUUUACAGAUCAGUGAUAAAGUCGAUUAGACUCAUACGUCUGGCUACAUUUUUUAUCAUUUUUGAUAAGUAGUCGAUUGAUUUUAAAUGACGUUUAUUGUUUUACCUUUUUUCACAUCAUCUACAAAGAAGUGCAAGCAAUGAUAAAAAAUGUUUAUCACUGUUUUAUCUACCCAUUGCGUAUGCUGCCCUGAUACUGAUGGCGUGGUGUGAUUUCGUGUGAAGGACAUAUCCUUCACAUUUUAAGUGUAACAUCUAAAUGGAACAAAAUGUAGACCAUAUAACUCUGUGAAAAAUGUCCAAACUUUUAACCUUUAAUUCGAAAAUUCCCGUGCACUUCAUUUUGUUUUUGGGGGUUUUAAAAUACAAAAAAAAAAGAAUAUUCAUAAAAGACUUCGACAAAAAAUGUUCCAAUUGUUGUUUUGUAUCUCAUGUAGUCUUGUGUUGUUUUGUAGAAGUUCACUGGAAGCAAUGUUAGAUACCUUUGCUGUGCACGGAGCCAGACCCCGGUGUAAUCCCUCGCCUCCAAAACGACAGCAUUUAGGUAUGCCUCCGCCAUGAGCUCGUAGCGACAUAGCGGCAUAUAGAAAAAACUAUGAACGUUUACAAUAAUGUCAGAUUGAAUGUAAAUUAUGAUAUUCAUAUUAUGAUUCCCAUAUUUUUUUUUCUCUGCGUUUGUUUUAAUUUUGUGAUAUUGGUCAGCGUGGUAUAAAAUACUAGUAUAGCAUAUAGCUCUUAGCUUUGUACCUUUUGAACUUGUAGGAUCCCAUGAAGAAAAGGCUGGAGGUCUCACAUUAUUUUUAUCUGGAAAAGAAAUGAGACUAUUCGCGAACGGAUGGAACAAUUCAAGUCCGAAUACUGUGACGUCAGACCACACAAUAAAGUACCCGUACCUUCUUCAAAUCCAAAGACCGCCUUCUCAAAGAGGCGCUCAGAACAAUUGCGUAAACUGUGACCUUGGUUCACCUCUUAAUAGUCCUUCUAGGGAAGAGCAGCUUGUUCAAUCCCCCGUCUGUGCUGACCGUCCGCAGUCAUUGUGUGUCCCGGAUGUUCCACUUUGGGGGUCAACGACGCCCGUGCCAAUAUCCCCUUCCUUUGACUAUAAUGCGCCCAAUGUGUCCUCGCACCUGCUGCAAAUGUUUAGAUAUUCCUUAAAUAAAUGAUAUGUAU
rnacentral:misc_RNA from 1 species